UUCUUACUUUUAUAAUUUAUAAUUAAAAUAUUAUAUUUUCAGUAUAAAAAAGUGA
rnacentral:tRNA from 1 species